GGGAGGGCCAUGCAGUCGUUGGGCAGAAUGUAGGUUGGACAGGAUUUUAUCCUACCUUCCUAACAACAGCAACUGUUUUCCUGGGGUUUGGAAGGAGGAGGCUCAGGGUAUUUGGGGGAGUUCUCUGGCUAUGUUCUCUCAUCACCCUGGCGGAAAGAAUUUGGAAGUUAAAAAUUGUUAGUCUUUUUAAACAGCCAUUUUAUUUCCCCCUCACGAGCCUGUUCCAGAUAUGCUAGGUAGACAACAUUAAACUGGUUGAGUUGUGCCACCCAGCCUUUGUUCUUAUUGGUCAGUUUAUGGAAAAGCACUCGAAUUACUCUUUCUCUAAGACAAUGAAAAGAAAUGUCAACGUGGCUCCUGAUGAUGGAAUUUUUAGAUGUAAUUGUUUUCUAUUUAGCAUGUUUCAGAAUUGAUUUUUACGAAUAGGGCUGCAGAUUAACCUUUCUGUAACAGACUGGAAAAAUGAUCACUUGAAAACAGGGUGCCCCCUAAUAGCGUUCUUUGUGGCAAUCAGGGAUAAUCUGCUUGUGGGCAGUCAUGUUAUUAGCUCAUUUCCUUAAGCUGUUUCUGAAACUCGUUAUCUGAUUGCCAUGAUGGUCCCAGCUAUUGGGUUGGAGUACAGUCCCUUCACAUGUAACUUUUUGUUUUUGUUUUUGUUUUUGUGUUUUUGCUUAAAGUAAUUAUGAUAAUGGUAAUGGAAGAGAUAUUUCUGUGAGUACACAGUAGUGAGACUACAAGACAAGAAAAUAGCCAUUUGGAAGAACUCAGUUUUGAACUCUGCCAAUGUGUUUAGAGAACUGUGUGCUUUGCCUAGAUGAGAUCUGGGCUGUCACCAUUAAUGGCAUCCUUGGGUGAGUGUUUUAUACGACCAUUAAAUUACUGUUUGUCCAGCAUUUCCUCCUUUAGGAAAUGAAGUGGUGUGCAGAAAAUAAAUUAAAUAAAUCCUCUCCCCUCCUUUUUAUGGCCUUUGUGGUUUCCACAAAAACUUUUAUUUCUGGGGACCUCAAAGUAUAUUUGCUGUUGGCAAAUGUUAAUGUUCUCUUACCUAAGUGAUUUUAGAAGCUAAUGGAAACCCGUUCUGUUAAACAGAUAGAAGGACCUGUAAUCUCUUCCCUCUUAGUAUCUGCAGUAGUUUCUAAAGUUUUCAUUUCCUGGGAGGAUGGAUGCAGACUUCUUGGAAAGAGGGACCUUAUUCUGCCCGAUUUGUUUUUACUGUGCAUGGUGUUUCUGCAGUAGUUUAUUUUGUAGCUUUCAGGAUUAUCAGCUGUCCAGACUAUCUUGUCAGCAAAGAAAAAAAUAGAAGAAAUUCCAGACAAAGCCUCCCCAUUUUCCAUUUUCAUCUGUGAAGAGUUUGGUAGACAUAUUAAGAAGUAACAAAGAAUAUCUAAGCAGCCCUGUACUAAUUGGUGCUGCAACAAUGUUUUUAAUGGGUUCCCGUGGUUCUUAGAGAGGAGGUCCUUCAUGCGGAUACCCUGUAUCCCCGUGGCCACAGAGGAAUCCAAGCAUCAGGGAGGGUAUCCACUUAACCUGCUUGGGUCAGUCUGUUUAUCAAUAUGCUAUUUCCCUAAUUAUUCAAAGAUUCCGUCCUGUGUGAUAUGGGAAGAAUGUUUUAUUUUUUCCUUCAUGUUAAGAACUGGUUUUCAUCUCUCAGAUCUCUUUGAUUAUCCACCUGUUAUGUUUCUUCCUUCAGAAGAAAACUAAAGAAAAGUUCAAUUAUAUUAUUUUGCAUUACACUGGAAGAUCGAGUGUAAAGGGGGACAUUGUGUGAUGUCAGGAAAUGGUUCUUCAUGUUAGCGGAGUAAUUGCCCUCUGCUGUGGCUUUGUACCCCGGGAUACAGGGUGCCCUUCAACGCCCUCAGUGAUGAUGGGCAUAAAACAAAUUGCGAGCGGUGUGUGUAGUGAAUGUAGUGUGACUGCAUUUUUUAAUGUGUAAGUAGGCUUAGGUUUUUAUCCUCCUUAUCUUAAGCCCCCGUCAAGAUCAAACUCACUCGAGCAUUCACAUCCACAAUUGAAUCUCACCAGCUUUUUUUCUUUAAGUUAACAUCAGUUCAAACUCUCCCUACUGCUUCUGUCAAUAGAUCUUUUAAAGGCAGGCAUUAGAGUUAAGUUUGCCUUUAGUGUUUUCCCCCCACACUGCAUAACGUUGAGCCCAAGGGCUUCUUUUAAUAGGCAUUAGUUAAGGCCUAGAAUUGGGUAGACAUUUGUGAAGGAGACUUGAAGUUUGGAACAGAAUUGGUCUUUAUAGCUUUUCCAUGGGGGGAAAUCUUCUUAGGAGAAUAAAGGCUGCCUGCUAAUCUGCUACCAUCUGGAGAAUGAAGAAGCCAGAGGUUGUUGGCACCAGGUCACAUCCCUUAUGUAAACUGUCAAAUUCUUUUCAUAUUAAUGGCAUAUUGAGUUUAAUCUGAGGGGUAUCAGACAGAGCUUAUUUAUUGAUACUCUCUCUCUCUCUCUCUCUCUCUCUCUCUCUCUCUCCUCUUGCUGACAUAGUUUCUAAGUAUUGUUACAAUAUGAGAGUAUUGUAACACAGUGUAGCUUAAAAAAAAAAAAACCAGAACAAGGUUGGCUUCCUGAGAGAUGGCGGACUUCCCUUGUGCUAGCACAUGGCUUACUGUUGUGAUGUUUGCAGAGGUGAAUAACCUUCUCCACGGCUUGUCCAGCUGAUAGCCACUGUACUUACCCCACAUUUGAAAUAAAGAGAGGCUGAUUCUGGCUUUCCUAGAGAAUGCAUGUGUGAACAUGGAUGUGCAGUUUGGAGCCUUUGGACACGUGGAGCAACUGAAGUCAUCCCAAGUCUUAUGGGGGUCAUCUACUGUCUAAGUGGUAACCAGUAAAAGUUCUUUGCAUUUGAACAUAAUUAUGAGAACCUCUGGCUUCCUGUAGACACAGGGUCAGGUAAACUACAGGUGUCUUGAUAACUCUAUUCAGAGAAGAAUUAUUCCCCAAACGGGUACAGAUUGAUCGGGUUCAUUGUAAAAUUGCUCAGUUCCCCCCUCUUAUAAAUAAAAAUCAGCCCACAUUGUCAUUCUCACAGCUUUUGGUAGGUAAACAUUUCCCUCAUCAAGCUAUUCCUGGGGAUGCCUGCCUACAGGACCAGCUAAGGCAAGAGGUGAAUAAAAUACACUCUUGAAUUAAAUAUUGUCCCACAUCGGACAUGGGGACAAAAACACACCUGACGGUCAGCAAGCGUUCUUCGAACUAGCACAUACAAGGAUAACUAUAAACUGUUUCAUUUGGGUAGUCUUCCACUUGCAGAAGAAACACAAAGAACUGAAAACU
rnacentral:lncRNA from 1 species